ensembl:lncRNA
ACAAAACGCUCCCUCGCUGAGACCUCUGUCUAUUCACCAGACGAGGGGCUGAUAGACUAGAGGAGCACAAAUAUCGCAAUCAAAAAAGAUGGAGCGCUUCACGGAUUUGCGUGUCAUCCUUUCGCAGGAGCCAUGCUAAUCUUCUCUGUAUCGAUCCAAGUUUAGUAUAUGUGCCGCUGUAGCAAGCACAUUUGCGUGUCAUCCUUUCGCAGGGGCCAUGCUAAUCUUCUCUGUAUCAAUCCAAUUUUAGUAUAUGUGCCGCCGUAGCAAGCACAAGAGAGGCAGGCCGCUCGAGGUAUGUGUACCCCUCGUGUCCGCGCGAGCCCUCUCAGAGGUGGUAGGGCCCAGUGAGCCAUCUCACCACUUCGCAUGCCGUGCCAUACGGUUCUGAGGCCGGACGCACCCUGACUGAUGCAAUCGCUCACCGAGUUCGGGGGACAGGGGACGGUAGCGCCUCAUGUUGCACAUGUGCCAGAUUUCACAGCGAUGUACAGGAACAUCUGCUGAACAUGAGGAAGCGGGUGGACGCACUUGCCGAUGGUACCGGAGUACUGCGCUGAAGGGGGCUUGGCCUUGUCCGUUUUUUUUCAAAAAAGAGGUGGCAGUGAAGAAGUGGUGGGCAGCGAAGGGUCAGGAUGAAGGGGGUCUUACCGGACGAACUUUGGAUCUCCACGUGCUGAUGUCUUGUCAUGGAUUCUCUUCUUACUUUCUACAGAUGAGCGCUGAAGUUCUGGCGCUGAAGGGGGCGUGGCCUUGUCCUUUUAUCGAAAGAAGAGGUGGCGGUAAAGAAGUGGUAGGCAGCGAAGGGGCCAGGACGGUGUCCUAUCAUGGAUCCUCUUCUCACAUUCUACAAAUGAGCGUUGAAGUUCUCUGGCUCAUUUUCGAGUUGUCAAAUACGCAGGUGACCCAGGUCUCCUCUCCCUGCUCUCAAGCUCAGAGUCUGACGAUGGCCAUGUAGUUCUCAUGAGUUCAUCACAUGGUGUGAUGGAGCGGGGCCGCAGCCGAGCAUCUCUCAGACAAAGGAGGCGGUGAGUGAUUUUACAACAAAACACUCCCUCGCUGAGACCUGUGUCUAUUCACCAGACGAGGGGCUGAUAGAGUAGAGGAGCACAAAUAUCGCAAUCAAAAAAGAUGGAGCGCUUCACGGAUUUGCGUGUCAUCCUUUCGCAGGGGCCAUGCUAAUCUUCUCUGUAUCAAUCCAAUUUUAGUAUAUGUGCCGCCGUAGCAAGCACAAGAGAAGUGGCCCGCUCGAGGUAUGUGUACCCCUCGGG